CGGGCGGGUAGUGCCCAGGGAACUGGCCCGGCGCCCCAGGACCGGAGGGAUACUGCCCUGGAGCCCCUGGUGCUGGAGGAAACUGUCCAGGUACGCCGGGACCGGACGGGUAGCCACCGGGUGCUGAAGGCGGUCCCGGGUAGUGACCCGGUGCUCCGGGGCCCGAAGGGAACGGGAACUGGCCCGGCGCGCCGGGGCCGGAUCCGCCGGGGUAGCCGGACGGGGCCGAGGGCUGGGUGGGGGCUCCCGGGGCGGAGGCGGGCCACCCCGGGUUGGAAGGAUGCUGAGCAUUGUUGGCGGGAGCCGUGGGGUUGGUGUUGCCUUGAGACGUGGCCUUGCUCGGGGUGCUGUCUCCCAAAGCGUCUGACAGCUAACAAACACAAAACACUUUUUUUUUUCCUUUUUAUUUAAGUCAACAGGAAAUGGAUGGACAAGGAAACCGGAAAUAGAUACUCACAGAGAAAUCUGCCAUGACCUAAAAAAAAAAGAAGAGAAGAAGAAAUGAGGAGCUGUCAAAGAAGAGGGCGUGUCACGUGUUCAUGGGAGCAAUGCGGAGAAAACCAACCGUGGUGAAGUGAAGACCCUUCCUGUGACGGAGUAUUGGAGGGAUCAGGACUUCUUCGUUCUGACUCGGACUGUCAUGGCUGAAAGGAAAACUCGGAUCAGUUGAGACGGAAUGGAGCUGUUAUGGAUACGUGGCUGCUGACAAAGCAUCUUGGUCUGGUGACUGGGGCAGGGCAGCGAGUCAUUGGACCUCAAUGCAAAGUCAGCGUGGCAAGGUGCCAGGAACGUACAUUUUUCAGAAGGUCUCUGCAGCACCCAG